GUCCUAGCAGUAAACGGUGCACGCUUGGUGUGGGAGGAAUCGACCCCUUCCGUGCCGGAGCUAACGCGUUAAGCGUGCCGCCUGGGAAGUACGGUCGCAAGACUAAAACUCAAAGAAAUUGACGGGGACCCGCACAAGCGGUGGAGUAUGUGGCUUAAUUCGAUGCAACGCGAAGAACCUUACCUGGGCUUGACAUGCAUUUCUAAGGCGGUGAAAGCCGUCGACUGGAGCAAUCCAGAACUUGCACAGGUGCUGCAUGGCUGUCGU
rnacentral:rRNA from 1 species